CCUCCCGUGUAGCUGGGACGACAGGCGCACAUCAUCAUAUCAGGAACCAUCCUGCCACCUGCCCUGAAGAGGCUGCAAAAUGGCCAGGAGGAGAUUGGGAGAAUUUAAUCCUUGCACCUCAAGAAGAAACAGUUCUACUUUUAAAUAGAAGAGGACAGUGAGUAGCUGAGAAUCCAGGGAGCGUGAACCAUGUAGACUGCCAAUUUGGAGAGUAGUUUUUAGACUUCUAGACAUAGUCAAUGCCUAGAACUUGUAAAGAAAUUCUGUUAUCAGUAAUAUGUACUCUCGAUUUGGUUUGUUGGUAUGCAAACUCAUUCAAGUCUGGGAUCUGCAGAGAAGGAAUUGUAAUCCCACAACAAAUGUCAUUUGCAGCCCUUAGAAAUAAAAAAAAUACUCAUGUAUUGUUAG